rnacentral:rRNA from 1 species
UACGUAGGGGGCGAGCGUUGUCCGGCUUUAUUGGGCGUACAGAGCUCGUAGGCGGUCUGUCGCGUCUGCUGUGAAAACCUGGGGCUUAACCCCGGGCCUGCAGUGGGUACGGGCAGACUAGAGUGCGGUAGGGGAGACUGGAAUUCCUGGUGUAGCGGUGAAAUGCGCAGAUAUCAGGAGGAACACCGGUGGCGAAGGCGGGUCUCUGGGCCGUAACUGACGCUGAGACGCGAAAGCGUGGGGAGCGAACAGG